rnacentral:rRNA from 1 species
GGUUAAGCGACUAAGCGUACACGGUGGAUGCCCUGGCAGUCAGAGGCGAUGAAGGGCGUGCUAAUCUGCGAUAAGCGCCGGUAAGGUGAUAUGAACCGUUAUAACCGGCGAUACCCGAAUGGGGAAACCCAGUGUGACUCGUCACACUAUCAUUAACUGAAUCCAUAGGUUAAUGAGGCGAACCGGGGGAACUGAAACAUCUAAGUACCCCGAGGAAAAGAAAUCAACCGAGAUUCCCCCAGUAGCGGCGAGCGAACGGGGAGGAGCCCAGAGCCUGAAUCAGCAUGUGUGUUAGUGGAAGCGUCUGGAAAGACGCGCGAUACAGGGUGACAGCCCCGUACACAAAAGCGCAUGUGCUGUGAGCUCGAUGAGUAGGGCGGGACACGUGGUAUCCUGUCUGAAUAUGGGGGGACCAUCCUCCAAGGCUAAAUACUCCUGACUGACCGAUAGUGAACCAGUACCGUGAGGGAAAGGCGAAAAGAACCCCGGCGAGGGGAGUGAAAAAGAACCUGAAACCGUGUACGUACAAGCAGUGGGAGCACCCUUUGGGGUGUGACUGCGUACCUUUUGUAUAAUGGGUCAGCGACUUAUAUUCUGUAGCAAGGUUAACCGUAUAGGGGAGCCGUAGGGAAACCGAGUCUUAACCGGGCGUUAAGUUGCAGGGUAUAGACCCGAAACCCGGUGAUCUAGCCAUGGGCAGGUUGAAGGUUGGGUAACACUAACUGGAGGACCGAACCGACUAAUGUUGAAAAAUUAGCGGAUGACCUGUGGCU